GGGAUUCUGCCACUUGAGAUUGGCAUUGCCUCAGCUAUCCCUCAUGAUGCCGUGGUAGUACUGCUUUGUCCAGUGUUGAAGGGUCGUUGGUGCUCUUCUCUGGCUUGAAAAAUCUCCUCUUCCCUUUGAUCAGUUGCAGAAUGCUUCAAGGGAAUACUUCAGUGGGCAUCUUAUGUUGGCAUGGAAGGUGUUGAAAAAUCUCGUCGCUCCAGCGACAAGGGCAUAGAGACGGCCAUCUGUGCUCUUAUCGUCUCAUCCUCCACAAUCUGGUCUAGAACCAAUCUAGAGGAUCAUUUCUUCUCUCACCUCGAGCUCCUUUCGGCCUUCCUUGAAGGAAUAUUUGGGAGGUGGAUGGGUUUCCAUAAGAGAAAUGCCCAUGCCAUCAUCGAUAUUCUUUAGAGAGGGUGGUGAGCAUCACAAAAUGGGGAGUCCUACACUCUCCAUUAGGGGUCGCAUUCCUAGAG
rnacentral:lncRNA from 1 species